GAGGCCUUUUUAAAAGGCUAGUGGAAUGUUUAAUACGUUUCCCUUCAGGUACAUCUACAUGGCAAUAAUCCCAGAGCACCAUGACUCAGAGCCUGGGUCAAUUGACACCAGCUCAUGGAUCAGGCUGUGACCGGAGCCUGGAAUCAUAGACAACUUCCAUCGUGGAAUUACAGAGGUUGUGCUCCAUAUCGUGCCUGAAUAUCUACACUGCAAUGUUUAAUCCUGUGCCCCCACCCUGCAAAUCAGAAUCAGGAGGCUUGGGUCCUAUCUGGUCAUGCAAUGGGUCUUUUAUUGCAGUAUAUGUGUACCCUUCCUCUCAUUAUCAUGGUGUCUUUUAUACACAAGUUUUGGUUAAAUACAGGGAAGAUUUUCUAAGUCGCCAAUGUUUUGAAAUUAACUGGAUAUAAUGCUGUACUUAACAUUCAUUCAAAAAGAAUUCAAUAUAUUUUUAGUUUGGAAGCCAAUUGAGUAGAUGCUAUCACAGAUUCUUGUGUCACAAAAGCCUGUGUUCAACUCAAGCACAUCUGCAAUUCCAACUCCCUGAAUCUGUAACUCAUAAGUGAACAAUCUACUCCCAUCUUCAAGAUUUAUUAGGCUGUGACCACAUAUUAUUGACUUAAAAUAGUUACAAAGCAUUUAGCAACAAAAUGUGUCAACUCAGUUAGUUUUGUGCUUGAAUGCAAUCUGCAGGAACAGGAUGCAAGAAAAGAAGUUGCCUCUCUUUUAGCCCACUAUCAAAUCUGUGAAUUCUUUAUUGUCUCAAAAGUGUAAAAUGAAAUUCUCAAUUCACUUAAUUACUAACAAUUUAAUUUCUCUCUCUAAAAUUAAUCCAGGCAAAGAAGCAAAAUUUGAUCCUAAGAAGAUCCAGACCCUGUUUCUUACUGAACAAGAUGGAAAAGGAACACACAUGUGCCUCAUUGAGGAUUUUUUCCCAAAUGUUAUUAAGGUGACUUGGAAAAGUUCAAAUGAAGAGAAAAAUGCAAUACGUGGGGAAAUUUGGUCCCCGGAUGAUAAGCAAAACUCAUACUCAGUGAGUAGCUGGCUGACUGUUGAUGAUCCUAACAAGACAUAUAACCUCACAUAUGAACAUGAAAGCGGACGAGAUUCUAUCCUUCUCCAAUCCCAAGGCACCUCCAGAGCCAUAGAAGGUUGUAUCAACAUGCUGCCCGCAGAUCUUAAAAAUAGUUUCACACACACAACUGCAUAUUUAAUAUACAUCAUCCUUCUCCUGAAAAGCACCAUGUACUACGUCAUCGUACUCUUCUUCAUAUACAGAAUGAAAGACCCAAACAAGCACCAGGGAAAGAAACCUUAACUUUUACUUGCAUCUUCCUGCAUCAGCAUUUGGGUUUGAAAUUUACUUCGCUUUGCCAUGAGCCUGUUCAUCUGAAACACCUUGCUCUAAAUAUCAAGAUAUGCAUUUUAAUUGAAUUUUGUUGUUCUCUAAUUAGCACAGAUGGUUUUUCUUGAGCUAUUGGCUUUAUGGUUGAUCAUUUUUGUCUAUUCGUUUAAUUUUUUAACUGUGGAACUUAAAGGGCUGGGGCUACAUAUUGAUUUCAAUGGGAAUUUUGCAUCACAAAGAAGUCUUACAUCAGUCUCUUAGGCUACGUCUAGACUGGCAUGAUUUUCCGCAAAUGCUUUUAAUGGAAAAGUUUUCUG